rnacentral:rRNA from 2 species
AACGAUCUGGGCACUGUCUCAACGAGAGACUCGGUGAAAUUAUAGUAUGCGUGAAGAUGCGCAUUACCCGCGACAGGACGGAAAGACCCCGUGGAGCUUUACUGCACCCUGAUAUUGACUGUCUGUGCAGCUUGUACAGGAUAGGUAGGAGCCUGAGAAGCAUGAGCGCCAGCUUGUGUGGAGGCACUGGUGGGAUACUACCCUGGCUGUAUGGACCGUCUAACCCGCGGCCCUGAUCGGGUCGGGAGACAGUGUCAGGCAGGCAGUUUGACUGGGGCGGUCGCCUCCUAAAGAGUAACGGAGGCGCCCAAAGGUUCCCUCAGAAUGGUUGGAAAUCAUUCGCAGAGUGCAAAGGCAGAAGGGAGCUUGACUGCGAGACCUACAAGUCGAGCAGGGACGAAAG